rnacentral:rRNA from 1 species
CCUACGGGAGGCAGCAGUGAGGAAUAUUGGUCAAUGGGCGCGAGCCUGAACCAGCCAAGUCGCGUGAGGGAACACGGUCCUAUGGAUUGUAAACCUCUUUUGUCGGGGAGCAAAAGACGCCACGCGUGGCGUUCCGAGAGUACCCGAAGAAAAAGCAUCGGCUAACUCCGUGCCAGCAGCCGCGGUAAUACGGAGGAUGCGAGCGUUAUCCGGAUUUAUUGGGUUGAAAGGGUGCUCAGGCUGAAGAUCAAGUCAGCGGUAAAAUUGAGACGCUCAAUCUCCUCGAGCCGUUGAAACUGGUUUUCUUACGUGACUGUGAAGUAUGCGGAAUGC